UUCUAUUCUUGGCUUUGGGCUUCUAGAUGACCCAUCCUUACCUCUUGGACAAGGCCGCACCUUCCUAGCCCAAUUCAUCUUGGAUCCUCACUUAAUGCCGCACCUAAACCCUAGCCCAUUGCAUAUUUCUGACUUCUAAGCCUUUGCCGCACCUAGGCCCCAAAAUAUCUGAUUUCCUUGCCUUGCAAGGCUUUCUAGAAGGCCUAUCCACACUCCCACCAAAUCUGCCGCACCCUAGCCCUUUUCCCAUGCAAAUUCCUAUUGUGUUAACCUAAUUUCUGGUGGAUUUGGGUUUCUAGAAACCCUAAUCUGAUUGCUAGGGUUUUUAAGUGCCUAUAUAUAUUCAUUCUAACCCUUUGGCCGAACCUACCACUCCCCAUCUAAUUCAUUCACGCCAAAAACCCUAGUUACAU
rnacentral:lncRNA from 1 species